AAUAUAAAAACAGAAUAUAGAUAUUUAUCUUACCUCCUAUACAUUUCCAGGAAUAUGAUUGGUUAAAAGCGUCCGCGUGCAAACCGUGUAUAUUUGAUAUUAGGUUAGUAGGGAGGCGGGGCUUAUCUCAUACACGGUUAGUAGUGGAGUUACGUCCCUUUAUAUUCCUUAUUAGGUAAGAAGGGGGCGGGGCUUAUUUCAUACAGGGUUAGUAAUGGUGUUAUGUCCCUUUGUAAAAACAAAACGGUACUGAGAAAAAUUCUUAAAAGUUCCAACAGACGAAGAAAUUG
rnacentral:lncRNA from 1 species